rnacentral:rRNA from 1 species
AGUGCGAUCGGUGGAUGCCUAGGCACCAAGAGCCGAUGAAGGACGUUGUGACCUGCGAUAAGCCCCGGGGAGCUGGUGGACGAGCUUUGAUCCGGGGAUUUCCGAAUGGGGAAACCUCGAAGGUGACCGGUCGUGAGGCCGGCGACUGCCCCUUGAAUGUAUAGGGGGGUGUGAGGGAACGUGGGGAAGUGAAACAUCUCAGUACCCACAGGAGAAGAAGACAACAGUGAUUCCGUGAGUAGUGGCGAGCGAAAGCGGAGGAGGCCAAACCGUGCGUGUGUGGACAGCUGGCAGGCGUUGCACGUGCGGGGUUGUGGGAGUGUUCUUGCCCGAGCUGUCAGGAGGGCGGGGAGUGACAAAGCGGUGUUGAAGUGGAAGCGGCUGGGAAGCCGUACCGGAGUGGGUGACAGUCCCGUACACGUAUGACAUCGUCUUCCUUGAGCACGUCCCAAGUAGCGCGGGACCCCUGAAAUUCCGCGUGAAUCCGGCGGGACCACCCGUCAAGCCUAAAUACUCCUUGGUGACCGAUAGCGGACCAGUACCGUGAGGGAAAGGUGAAAAGUACCCCGGGAGGGGAGUGAAAUAGUACCUGAAACCGGUCGCAUACAAUCCGUCGGAGCCUUCCUCGUGGGGGUGACGGCGUGCCUUUUGAAGAAUGAGCCUGCGAGUUAGUGGUGUGUGGCGAGGUUAACCUGUGUGGGGUAGCCGUAGCGAAAGCGAGUCCGAACAGGGCGGUCCAGUCGCAUGCUCUAGACCCGAAGCGGUGUGAUCUACCCAUGGCCAGGGUGAAGCGACGGUAAGACGUCGUGGAGGCCCGAACCCACCAGGGUUGCAAACCUGGGGGAUGAGCUGUGGGUAGGGGUGAAAGGCCAAUCAAACUCUGUGAUAGCUGGUUCUCCCCGAAAUGCAUUUAGGUGCAGCGUUGCAUGUUUCUUGCCGGAGGUAGAGCGACUGGAUGGCUGAUGGGCCCGCGAGGGUUACUGACGUUAGCUAAACUCCGAAUGCCGGUAAGUGAGAGUGUAGCAGUGAGACAGUGGGGGAUAAGCUUCAUUGUCGAGAGGGAAACAGCCCAGACCAUCAACUAAGGCCCCUAAGCGUGUGCUAAGUGGGAAAGGAUGUGGAGUUGCUGAGACAACCAGGAGGUUGGCUUAGAAGCAGCCAUCCUUGAAAGAGUGCGUAAUAGCUCACUGGUCAAGUGAUUCUGCGCCGAUAAUGUAGCGGGGCUCAAGUACACCGCCGAAGUUGUGGCAAUGAUCUUUUUGGAUUGUUGGGUAGGGGAGCGUCGUGUAGCCGGUGAAGCUGCGGUGUAAACCAGUGGUGGAGGCUAUGCGAGUGAGAAUGCAGGCAUGAGUAGCGAAAGAUGAGUGAGAAACUCAUCCGCCGGAUGAUCAAGGGUUCCAGGGUCAAGUUAAUCUGCCCUGGGUUAGUCGGGGCCUAAGGCGAGGCCGACAGGCGUAGUCGAUGGAUAACGGGUUGAUAUUCCCGUACCGGUGAAAAACCGCCCAUACUGAUAUUGUGAUGCUAACCAUGCGAAGCAUGAUGUGCAGGCUUUUGUUUGUGUGUUGUGUGGGUUGUGGGACCCGAUCUUUGGAGGUAAACGUGUUAACAGGUGUGACGCAGGAAGGUAGCCAAGCCACGCGAUGGUUGUCGUGGUCUAAGCGUGUAGGGUUGUCGGUUGUUAAAUGCGCCGGCUGUGUGCCUGAGACGUGAUGGGACCCCGUUUUUGGGGGAUUUGGUGAUCCUAUGCUGCCGAGAAAAGCAUCGGCGUGAGGUUUUAGCCGCCCGUACCCUAAACCGACACAGGUGAUCAGGUAGAGAAUACUAAGGCGAUCGAGAGAAUCAUGGUUAAGGAACUCGGCAAAAUGCCCCCGUAACUUCGGGAGAAGGGGGGCCCUGAGCGUGAUCUGCCCGUGCGGUGGGGAGCGUGUAGGGGUCGCAGAGACCAGGGGGAAGCGACUGUUUAUCAAAAACACAGGUCCGUGCGAAGUCGUAAGACGAUGUAUACGGACUGACUCCUGCCCGGUGCUGGAAGGUUAAGAGGAUUGGUUAGCCUUUGUGGCGAAGCUGAGAAUUUAAGCCCCAGUAAACGGCGGUGGUAACUAUAACCAUCCUAAGGUAGCGAAAUUCCUUGUCGGGUAAGUUCCGACCUGCACGAAUGGAGUAACGACUUCCCUACUGUCUCAACCAUGAACUCGGUGAAAUUGCAGUACGAGUAAAGAUGCUCGUUUCGCGCAGCAGGACGGAAAGACCCCGUGACCUUUACUAUAGUUUGGUAUUGGUGUUUGGGUUGGCUUGUGUAGGAUAGGUGGGAGACUGUGAAGCCGCUACGCUAGUGGUGGUGGAGUCGUUGUUGAAAUACCACUCUGGUCAAUCUGAGCGUCUAACUUCGGGCCAUGAUCUGGUUCAGGGACAGUGCCUGAUGGGUAGUUUAACUGGGGCGGUUGCCUCCUAAAGUGUAACGGAGGCGCCCAAAGGUUCCCUCAGCCUGGUUGGCAAUCAGGUGUUGAGUGUAAGUGCACAAGGGAGCUUGACUGUGAGACUGGCAGGUCGAGCAGGGACGAAAGUCGGGACUAGUGAUCCGGCGGUACGUUGUGGAACGGCCGUCGCUCAACGGAUAAAAGGUACCUCGGGGAUAACAGGCUGAUCUUGCCCAAGAGUCCAUAUCGACGGCAUGGUUUGGCACCUCGAUGUCGGCUCGUCGCAUCCUGGGGCUGGAGUCGGUCCCAAGGGUUGGGCUGUUCGCCCAUUAAAGCGGUACGCGAGCUGGGUUCAGAACGUCGUGAGACAGUUCGGUCCCUAUCCGCUGCGCGCGUUGGAAAUUUGAGAAAGGCUGUCCUUAGUACGAGAGGACCGGGACGGACGAACCUCUGGUAUGUCAGUUGUACCGCCAGGUGCAUGGCUGAUUGGCUACGUUCGGGAGGGAUAACCGCUGAAAGCAUCUAAGCGGGAAGCUUGUUUCGUGAUGAGUUCUCCUGGCACCCUUUGG